rnacentral:rRNA from 1 species
UGGGGAAUUUUGGGCAAUGGGCGAAAGCCUGACCCAGCAACGCCGCGUGUGGGAUGAGGGCCUUAGGGUCGUAAACCACUGUCAGGAGGGAAGAAGUGCGUCAGGGGUAAUAUUCCUGCCGUUUGACGGUACCUCCAAAGGAAGCACCGGCUAACUCCGUGCCAGCAGCCGCGGUAAUACGGAGGGUGCAAGCGUUGUUCAGAAUUACUGGGCGUAAAGCGCGUGUAGGCGGCUCAGUUAGUCGGAUGUGAAAUCCCCGGGCUCAACCCGGGAACUGCAUCCGAAACUGCUGGGCUAGAGUCCCGGAGAGGAAGGCAGAAUUCCCAAUGUAGGGGUGAAAUCCGUAGAUAUUGGGAGGAAUACCAGCGGCGAAGGCGGCCUUCUGGACGGUGACUGACGCUGAGACGCGAAAGCGUGGGGAGCAAACAGGAUUAGAUACCCCCGUAGUCC